UGUCUGGUGUUCUAUGUGACAGAAGAGUCUCCGCGAGGAUGAAGGGCAAAAUUUAUAAAAACAGUGGUGAGGCCGGCCAUGAUGUACGAAUUAGAGACGGUGGCAUUGAAGAGACAACAGGAAGCGGAACUGGGAGGUGGCAGAAAUGAAGAUGCUGAGGUUCUCGGUUGGAUCGGAUUAGAAAUGAGCUCAUUAGAGGGACAGCCAAAGUUGGAUGUUUUGGAGACAAGGCCCGAGAGAGCAGACUUCGAUGGUUUGGACAUGUUCAGAGACGAGAGAGUGAGUAUAUUGGUAAAAAGGUUCUGAGGAUGGAGAUUCCGAGCAAAAGAGCGAGAGGAAGACCAAAGAAAAGGUGGAUGGAUGUGGUGUGCGAGGACUUGAUGACUGGAUGUUAGUGAGGAAGAUGCACGAGAUAGGCUUAGAGGGAAAAAGAUGACACGCUGUGGCGACCCUUAAUCGGGACAAGCCGAAGGGAAAAGAAGAAGAUAUCAAAGGGAGGUCACCGCGAUGAAGGCGGUCUCAGAGAAGACCUGAGUGCAGAAGGCCGUGUUCUUGGAGCCGAAGCCGUUGUUCUCGUCCGCCUUGACGAUGUGGACGCGGGGCUGGUAUUUGUGCAUGGAGUUGAGGAUUAUCUGCGCACGGGGAGAUGCAGCUGCGUGUCCUGCGAGGCUGCAAGACGAAAAGUGAGACGAGAAGGUUUCAAUCAUACCUGAAACGAGGUGGCGCUGGCGGCUGGACGGCUCAUUAUCGUCGUCCCAUCCGGACUCCGGGCUGACUGGAUCCUCUGUUCUCCGUCUGCAGGAAGUGGCGAAGGGGGUCCCAGACCUCCUGCACUCAGCAGUGCUCCAAGGCGAGACCUGCGUCCGUGCAGCUGAAGGAAAAACCUGGUCCGCAUUAAUAUGACUUUAUUGCCGUUGUACAUGCGAGGAAACCAAGCCCUCGGCCGCUUUACAAGAAUGAGCUGCUCUUCUUCAGAGACUUAACACAAAGAUGAGUGGUCCACAUUUGGAGGCGAGACCCCUUCAAUUGAGAAUAUGGAAAAAAAUGUGAUCAUAAUUAUAAUAUUAAAGUUCUCAAACAUUUUUUUCGUGUAAUAAUCUCAUAACGUGCCUUUGAAAUGUCCCAAUUUCAUGCCUCCCCCGACAAAUGAAUAUUUUCCAUUGAACUUCAUUUUCUCUGUAUUAUGUGAACGUUACGCAGUACGAAAUUCAUUUUGCCGAAGCUCCCAUAUUUUAAAAAGUAAAAAAUGAAAAGAUAGCAGACACCGUCAAUGAAAAAGCAACAUGUGUGAGCUUGCUGACUGGGUGGAUAUUUUUUUUCUAAUGUUAUUAAAAUAAAAUUAAAUUAAGAUGCACUUAUGAUUCAGUGAGCAAACUGACAACGUGCAAUGUUUGACAAAUACAUUUUGAAUUUUUUUUGAAAGUUUCUUUUUACGUCUGUUGGUGUUUUCACAAUGACAUGCCUGGCAUUCAAAAUGAAGUAAAGUAAACAAGUUUAGACUGACCAUACUGGAGCCAUCUUAAUUUAUUGAUCAGAUGUGGAUGGAUCAUGUUAAAGAAAACACCCAAUUUAUUGAUCAAUUAAUUUAUUGUUAUUCAAGUAGAUUUUGUGUGGGUGUGUGUGUGGGGGGGGGUUGUGUGUGAUUUGUUAGGUGUUUUUUUGCAGCCUUAUUAGAAAUUAAUUACAACAAAUGCCAUCUAACGUGAAUGUCCUGCUAAAAAAAUUCUAUCGAACAUUUCUAAAUAAUUUCUAAAGAACUAUACUUGGUAUACUUUAGGACCCAAGUCCUGUAGAAAUUAUAUUUUUAUGUAGAAAUUCUAUAGAAAAUCACUGCCAAAGUUCUAUAGAACAAGUUGUUCUGUACAAAUUCUAUAGAAUUCUAUAUAUUUCUAUAGAAUUUCAAUAGAAAAUUUUAAGCAUAGUGCUGUAACUUGAGUGACUACAGAGACUCAAGUUUAAUUAUUGAAUAUAAUGUUUCAGUCUUUGCAACAGACAUUAAAAGUUUAUUUUAUUUUAAGUGCAUAUGACCAAAAAAAAAACCAACAAAAAAAAAAAUAAAAACAACAAAACAACUAUUGACCGUUAGGUACAGUUUUACCUUCAAAUGAGUUCUGAAGAUGAACAAUUGUUGCUCGCCGUGGGCUGUAACUUGUGAAGAAU